rnacentral:miRNA from 1 species
ACCAAUUUCCCCUUCUU